rnacentral:lncRNA from 1 species
UACUUGCAAUCGCGGCUAACACAAGUUUCGAUUUUAAUAAGUAAUAUAAGCCUUUUGGCCCGAACGAUUAUCUUGACAAUGAUUCCGUUUUGCAUAAUUCUUUUUCGAGGACGAAAAAAGGUUAAGUGUGGGGAUAUUUGAUGUGGGGUAAAAUACACAUAUUUGUCCCGUGUAAAGUGUCCUGGUGCAAAUGGAGCAAAAACGAGUAAUAUGAAAAUAACCAGCCAGUUGGACAGAGUGGGAUGCCAGGGACCGAAUACAAAUUGCCGCUAUUUUUCGUGAGUAGGUCGAGCCCGCUAUCUCCAUGUUAUCUAUAAAAUGCCGCCAAACUGUAUAAGCCCAUUCAGAUUGUUAUGAGAAUUAUGAACAUAGGGAUAGGCCACAAAAGAAAAGAUGGAAAAGGGGAAAUAAUAUAUUAGAUGAAAAAAGGAGUUGGAGUCGGCACAUAAGAUCACGAAUAAUUAUGAUCUUGGACAAUGUUGGAUGGCUGAAUAUGGGCCAAGUCCUGUACGAUUAAAAGAAAGAAAUCAGCCUAUUAUUUUUUGGAGGGGAGCCUAUUUAAUUCGAUAGACACGCAACAUCGGACAUCAGCUCGAGGGCCGCACAAUUAUUCUUGGACGACUAAAAGGAACAGACGGCUGCGACAUCAGAGAUCGGACGAUUAUAAGCUGUGGACGAAUUCUUGGAGCUUCUUUGGCAAGGUUUUGAGCCACGGAAUCGUUGGGUUGAAGCAAGAAGCUUGGAGAGCAAGGAAUAACCGAGUUUUGCCAUUCGGUUUCUUUUAUUUUCUAGUCUUUUUGUUUUAAUUCAAUGAAUUCAUUAUUUGAACCUUGUUUGAUUAUUU